rnacentral:rRNA from 1 species
UACAGAGGUCUCAAGCGUUGUUCGGAUUCAUUGGGCGUAAAGCGCGCGCAGGCGGCCCGGUAAGUCGGAUGUGAAAUCCCACGGCUCAACCGUGGAACUGCAUUCGAUACUGUCGGGCUAGAGGCAGGUAGGGGAGAUCGGAAUUCCUGGUGUAGCGGUGAAAUGCGCAGAUAUCAGGAGGAACACCGGUGGCGAAGGCGGAUCUCUGGGCCUGUCCUGACGCUCAGGCGCGAAAGCUAGGGGAGCGAACAGG